rnacentral:rRNA from 1 species
GAUGAACGCUAGCGAUAGGCUUAACACAUGCAAGUCGAGGGGCAGCAUUGUCUUAGCUUGCUAAGACUGAUGGCGACCGACGCACGGGUGCGUAACGCGUAUGCACCUUGCCUCACAGAGGGGGAUAACCCGUCGAAAGACGGACUAAUACCGCGUACACUCUAUUUUGGGCAUCCAAGGUAGAGGAAAUUAAAUUAGCUGUGAUAUAGGCAUGCGUCCCAUUAGCUAGUUGGUGAGGUAACGGCUCACCAAGGCGACGAUGGGUAGGGGAACUGAGAGGUUGAACCCCCACACUGGUACAGAGACACGGACCAGACUCAGACGGGAGGCAGCAGUGAGGAAUAUUGGUCAAUGGGCGAGGGCCUGAACCAGCCAAGUCGCGUGAAGGAUGACUGUCUUAUGUAUUGUAAACUUCUUUUGUAGGGGAAUAAAGAGGGGAACGUGUGCCCCAGUGAAUGUACCCUACGAAUAAGCAUCGGCUAACUCCGUG